rnacentral:lncRNA from 1 species
AGAGAGAGAGCAUAUAUAUAUAUUCUUUAGUGGAAAUGCAUCUACAUAGUGAUGCCAACCAUAGCUUCCAGUGCUCAUUCUGUAAGCAUAAUUUUUACAAUGUUUUUCUCCUGUCUAUAACCAAGGAUGUUUUCAUAAGGCACAAUGAAUCUGCAUAUGUUGUAAUUUCCGUUACAUUUGGCCUGAUACCAUAGGCAAAACACUAAUAGCUGAUGGAAGUUAGGCUGUGUCUUUAGUCAUCUAGUAAAGCAACACUAUCUGGAUCUCUGGAUGUCUAUGAAAUAAGGAAAAGGUCAUCCAUUGAUUUGAUCCGCAAUGAAUUUGCAAAUUUAUAUGGAAGUCCACAUGAUUAUUUGAAUCUUAUCCAAAACUUAUCCUAAACCAAUUAAUGACUUAGAUGUAAGACCACAAAGUCAGUUUAAAUAUUUUAAUGAGCCAUCUAGUACAAUAAAUAUGGCAAAAUCAUUUUUUCUUAUCCUUCUAUCUUUGAGUAAUUACAUAUCUCGUAUGUGAAAAAGUGUGAACAUGGUUUAUAUCACAAACUCUGUACACACAGAGACAUAUACACACAUAUUAGUGUAUACCAUUUAUAGCUGUAUUAGUCUUUUAUUUAGUCAUGAUGUUUAUAGAUUAAUAUGUGAAAAAUAUCUAAGCUUAAACAUACACAAUGUUGAAAUAAAAUAUACUAUAAUCAACAGCUUAAUGACUGUACAUGAAAUCACUAGCAUCAUCACAUUUUAGAAUUACAAGGUGUCAAACAGUCCCCUCAUUUUAAUAGAAGAGGAGACUGAGGCCCAGCAUGAAACAGUGACUUGAUUGGGAUUACAAAAUUGUCAGGGAUAUAAUGUGGACUAGAGUCCAAGUUAUGGAAUGUAGUGUCCAGUAUUCUUAUUUAUCUGAUCAUACUACCUUUGGGGGAAAAAAACUGAAUUUCUGUAACUUUCUGUGUGUGUAUUUCAAUUGCAGUAGAAAUCUGUUGAAAUUUACUUACUUAUUUAUGACUAUAUAUUUGGCUAUGAAGAUUGACAUCUUUACAAUAGACUAUAAUUCUGCUUUAGGCUCCAGUUCUUCUGUGUAAAAUUAUCUGGGAAAAUAUAAUUCAAAAUUUACAGAAUUUUAAAGAAGUUAAUAAUUCUUUUCCCUCAUGUAGGAUUGUAAUUGAUAACAUAGAGUAAAGCAUCUUAACAUGGUUAAGAACAUAUAUUCUGUUGACAGAAUUUUUAAUAUUAGCAGAACAAUGAUAACAGACAUAAGUUCCUUCCUAGCAAUUAGUAUAUUUCAAUAAAAAUUCAUUUAAAUAGAAAAGAAUUAAAACAUUCUACACAUUAUGUAUGAAACUUUUUAUGCAUUCUAAUUGUGAUAAUCUUUUACCUUUUUCAUCAAUAUUGAUAAUUACUUUUGACUUCUGGGCUUGUGUGCAUUUUAUCAACUUUGCACAUACAUUUUAUUUUAGUAGCAUCCUUAACACACAGUCAUGCACGAAUGUUUUCUCUUAAUUUGUUUUCUAGCAAGUUUUUAGAAGAAUAUGACAUUUUGUUAACUUUCAAUUGGAUUGCUUCCUUGUUAGGCAGUUAACCAAUCUAGUGUACUAGAUUCUAAAUUUGCACAGUGAUAAAAUAUAAAUUAUUGAAUCUAUUAAUUUUAAAAAUAAAAUCUGAACUAUUUUAAAAACU